AGCAUGGCUCAGCCCUGCCCUGGAGCCCAACUGGGGCUUUCCUGAGGGGUGUUCAGGUGUGUAGUGGUGGCAUUAAUWACCUUCAGCUGUUACCAGUUAGUGUUCAGUAUGCAAGCUGUGCCAUUUGAAGUUAUUCUUGGGCUGUUAAAARGUAAGCUUGCUUUCUAAGAGUAAAUUUUUCUUCCAGAAUAGACUUGGAAGUGCAGCAAGAACACCUUACUGCUGUGCAAACUCUUCCUUACCUCUGUGUAUGUGGUGUCUUCAGUGCUUGAAGGAGUGUAGGGACUGGAGGUUAGAAAAAGUCUUUGGAAACAGAGUCUGCCUACUCAACACAUGACUGCUGCUGAAUCCCAGCUCCAGGCAGUAAGGCUGAGUACGACAGUAUUCCAGUCCCCUGAGUGAUGCUGAAUUUUUUUAAGGAAUCCUUCAGUUUGAAUCCAGAGCUAAGCAAUUACUCAGUGCAUUAAAAGAAAGGUAGGUUGUACAGAGAAUACUCACCACUAGAGGACAGGUUUUACAGAUACAUAGCGAUAAAACUAAGGAAAUCCCUCUCCCAUGGCUGAUAGCAAUUAAUUGAUGCCCUAACAAUUAAGAACUGGUUUAAGUUAUGAUUUCCGUCCCUGCUGACGGGGUGUGGCCGGCGCGGCACCGCGGGGCUCCAGCCGGUGUCCGGUGUCCGGCCGGAUCCCGCUCCGCUCGCCGCAGCCUUUGGCCGCCACCUGCUGGGAGCCGCGCCCCGCUCAGGCCCUGCCGAGCUCYGGGACCUCCUUCCCUCUGCCUGUGCCUUGGUCUCGCCACCCCCGAACCGGUGGGGUCAAUCCCCGGGCCUGCGGAGACUGAAGGAGAGGUGCGGUGUGGGAAUGCAGAAGGUGACCCAAGUUCAGAGAGCUGCAGCAGCAACAAGGAAGYGGUAAGUCACCAGUGGUCACACAGCACGUCACCAAAGCCUGGCACAGGACAUGGAAACAUUCCCAUGGGUGGUGAGUCUGGGCUGCAUUGUUUUAUAAUGGACGGAAUUAAAGAAUUCUGUGGUCUGUAAUUUCAAAGUGUCUCACCAAGAACCAAUUUUAAAUACGCAUCCAGACAUUGACUUCUAUUCAUAGACUUUGCUUUAACCACAGAAACCACCCUUGUCUUGGCACACAUACAUACUGGCCCUGUCGAAUAUUGCCAGCAUAUGCUGUGCCGAAAGAAACUGUAAUUAUCUGAUCUCUGGCUGUAUCACCACAGAAAGAGAAACCAAAGAAAGGCAACUGGGAAGCAAUGUGGAGUCUUUUGAGAAUAAAAUCUGCAGACUUCACCWCCACUAGCUGCUACUUAAAGUGAUGGCUAAACCCAAAAUACAGAAUUGUUGGGUUUUACAUUUUGCCUUUAUAUAAAGGGAAAAAAUGAUCUUGUGACUGCUUUCUUUGAGAGCAUUUCUGUGUUCAGGAACUCCAGUCAUGAACUCGUACUCUCCUCUUAGAAGCAGCUCUUCAGCCAUCUGCAAUUCCUGUUGACCUGCUUUCAGUGGCAGGAGCUACACCUCAUCUAGACCCCCUUUCCCACAAAAGUUUGGGCCAGAUGAUCUUCUGAGACCCCUUCCAACCCAGCUCCAUACAGCCACAACAGCUAAUAACAUCCUGUACUGAGCUGGACUAAAAGGACAGUAGAAAACAAACUUUCAAAGCAAUCAGAGCCACGUGGGGUGGCUGCCACAAGCUAGGUAUAGGCUGAACAUUAUUUGCCAGACCCUCCUGCCUAUGAGAACUGUGGAGUUCAGUUGUGUAAAAUGUUCAUUGUUCCCCAAAGAAUCAGGAGUUAUGGCCAUCUUUUCCUCCAUCUCCUUUCUGUCCCAUGUUUGUUUUACCAAAAGUAAUCUCAACUUACUCAGGGCUUUGUCUUGUAAUCAGUCAUUCGAAGUGUUCCCUCAGGCCCAUUUGUUGCAGGACUUAAGGUAUUGCUGAGAUCAAACAAUAUGAAAUCCUCAGAGCUGUGAAAAUACAGGAUUUCCUGGCUCAGAGCUACUAACCCUACUCUCUAUUUUCACUAAGGUAGCACAGAGCUACAAUAAAACCACAUGCCAAGGGACUGCAAAAAGAAACAGGCACCUGGGACAAGAAUAUAUAGUCUUGGUAUGGUUGGAAGGUACCAGAAAUACUCACAUUGAAACAUAACAGCAAAAAUCCUUCAGUCUACUACUUACCUUUAGAAAGGCCCAUGUUUAAAACACAACUAUUUGCACACAACACAUCAGRUAAAUCACGUCUUCAAUUUGCUGUGAGGCAAGAUUUUCCUACCAGCUAUUAAUAGAUGCUGACUUCCUUUUCAAAACCAACGAGAGCUAAUGAAAAAAGUACAGAGGUUUGUUUGUGUGUGCUGCUGAUGCCACAGGGCAUUUGCUCCUUGGGCAGUUUCCUGCUGAGAUGGGAAGAAAGGAAAAUGGUGUUGGCCUCUGUAUCCGAGGAGGCCCCGCAGCACCGCGUGCUCUGCUGGCUGCCAGGGCACACGGACCAUGGGAACACCACAGCACUCAGCCAACAAUGCACAGGUCAGUGUGGAAAGAGGAGCACAGAGCUGACAUUGAGGCAGAGCUCGGGGUUUGGAGGGGAAAGCGCAGCAAAGCCCCAGUCCUGGAAUCUCAACAGGGAGAGGCAACUCAUCCAGCACGGAUGUGGGGGAGAGCGCAAACAUCCUGCUCUGGAAGGCAGCACAACAGGCAAUGUGGCUGUGGAAGGAGGAAGGAAGGGAAAUUCCCAGUUASAGGCACAGGGCAGGGAAGGCUGUCAGCUGUGACAGCAGGAGAGGGCAACAGGAUGUCACGGGAGAGGGUACAAACAAAAUUACCACCUACCAGAAAGGUCAGAGAGCAUGAGAAUGUAGUGCUGAUCAGAAGGGGGCUGACCUACACACACACAGAUCUGAGCAAC